UCUUCUAAGAGGACAUGCAGAGCCUGUGUGGCCGCGUUGAGAGGAAGUCAAUACAGAGAGAGGCAGGAAGUAGACUCAGCGUUAUGAUGCUGAGUUAACUCACACUGGCUUGCCUCCUCCUUCUGAUGAGGAGCAAACCAAGAAACAGCAGGCUCUACCUCAUCCUCUGCUGUGAAGAUUAAAAGGCAUAAUUUAUAACAUCAAGGUUAGAUCUAACUAAAGGUGAAACUCAUGGAACACGGAACUACAGACUGAAAACAUCCACAGAGCUACAAAUCCACAAAGAUGCCCUAAGGAGCUAUGUCUUAUAUGGAUGAUAUUAAACUGCAAACCAAUGUGCCCUCUAAGAGUCCAAAUCCAGAGGCUGAGACACUGAUAGUACAACAUCAACUAGGGGAGAAUCUGGGGGGAAGGGACCACGAUCAAAAUACAUCGUGUGGAAAACUUUUAAUAAAAAUAUGGAAAAAGGUCAAGGAAAAAAAUG